rnacentral:lncRNA from 1 species
CAAAAACGAUUCCUGCCUUGAGGAACUCAUGAGCUAAUGGGGGAGACAACGAGCAAACAAAUAUGUACAAAAAUAUAUGUACAUAGGACAAAUAGGAAAUAAUCAGCAGAGAAAAAGCACUGUAAUUAAGAGAAUGCUCCCCGAGUGGCCCUCUAUUGCAAAUCCCAUCAUUCUCAGUGCUCUAAUUAAGUGAUCAGAUUGGAUAGAGCAUGAAUUGACAAGGCCCACUAAGGUGUCGGCUUUAUGUCAGGUAUGAUAUUAUCAGCACCCUGGAGACAGAACAAGGAACAAUACAUCAAAUUCAAAAGAAGCAGUUUUAUAAUAGAAGGAGGAGAAAAAGGCAGAAAGAGGUCACAGUGGAAAGAGCAAGGAGUCUGGAGCUGGAAUCUCAUGAAAAUUGAAAGAGAUGAAUGAUAAGUCAUUCUGUGUUGGAACUCUUACUGAAGACACCACCAGAACUUCUGGCUGAGGACUACCAGGAAAUCCAUGUGGAGAUCAGAAAGCCCCUUUCAGGUCCUGAACUGGACUUCACUUUGCCAGAGAAGCACUUGGGGUUGGUAGGCUAGAUCAGGCUUUAUCUCCUUCCUAUAUUUCCCACUUUCACUAUCUCUAUCUUGUUGUAAAUAAAAGCUGCUAACAAUUCUUUUGACUUAGGGGC